AGUGAACGCUGGCGGUAGGCCUAACACAUGCAAGUCGAACGGCAGCACAGUAAGAGCUUGCUCUUACGGGUGGCGAGUGGCGGACGGGUGAGGAAUACAUCGGAAUCUACUUUUUCGUGGGGGUUAACGUAGGGAAACUUACGCUAAUACCGCAUACGACCUACGGGUGAAAGCAGGGGAUCUUUGGACCUUGCGCGAUUGAAUGCGCCGAUGUCGGAUUAGCUAGUUGGCGGGGUAAAGGCCCACCAAGGCGGCGAUCCGUGGCUGGUCUGAGAGGAUGAUCGGCCACACGAGAACUGAGACACGGUCCAGACUCCUACGGGAGGCAGCAGUGGGGAAUAUUGGACAAUGGGCGCAAGCCUGAUCCAGCCAUACCGCGUGGGUGAAGAAGGCCUUCGGGUUGUAAAGCCCUUUUGUUGGGAAAGAAAAGCAGCAGGUUAAUACCCCGCUGUUCUGACGGUACCCAAAGAAUAAGCACCGGCUAACUUCGUG
rnacentral:rRNA from 1 species